UUUUUUUUUUUUUAUAUUUUCUGUAAUGUAUAGUUAGUUGAAAUCAGUGCAAAGGAUGGGCUAUGGGGAUUUUAAACUGCUACAGAGAAUUUGGAAUUUUCCAUUAUUUUUUAAAUAGUUUAAAAUGCAAAAAAGGAGGAUGUUUUAUAUUAAUCAAUAUACUUACCAUUGCCAGCAUUCUUUAUUCUUUUGCGUUAAUCCAAUUUUCUCUCCAUUCCCUUCUGCCUACAGAACUUUAUUUAACAUUUUGCAGAGUGCAAGUCUACUCUCCAUAAAUUACCUCAGUGUUUGUGUCACAAAGUUUUUAUUUUGCCUUUGUUUUUGAAAGAUAUUCCUGCUAGGCAUAGAAUUCCAGAUUGACAAAUUUUUAUUUCACUGCUUUCAAAGAUGUGGCUUUAUUUUCUUCAAAUUAUCUAGUUUCUGAUAAGAAACGUGAUCUCAUUCUUAUCUUUGUUCUACUCCACGUAAUAUAUGUGUGUAUUUUUUCCUCUUGGUGCUUUUGUGACUUUCCUUUGUCACUGGUUUUCAGCAACUUGAUUAUGAUGUGCCUUCAUGUAAAUUUCUUUGUGUUUAUUUGAUUUGAUGUUUGAUGAUCUUCUUAGAUAUAUAAAUUUGUAAUUUUCUUCACAUUUGCAAAUUCGUUAUUAUUAUUUCUUCAAGUAUGUCUCCUUUUCUGGACUCACAAUCAUACGUAUUAUAGUAUAUGAUUACUUUAUAUUGGGCUUCAUUUUACUGAGGAUCUCAGCUUAUUUCAGGUUAGUUUUCUCUAUGUUUCAUGUAGCAUAACUUUUAUAGCUUUGUUCUCAAAUUUACUGUUCUUUUUUCCUUCAGUUUCUAAUCUGCUAUUAAUCCCAACAUCUGGUGUAUGUUUCAUUUAACAUUCUAUAUUUUUCAUUUCUAGAAGUCCCAUUUACAUAUUCAUAUAUCUCCCACUUCUCUACCCAUUGUGUUCAUGUUUCCCCUUAAAUUCAUGAGCUUAUUUAAGAUUUAUAAUAGCUCUUUUCAGGUGCUUCUUUAAUAUUUUGAGUAGAUGUUUUAUAAAAGCCACUAGUUAAGUUUUACUUAAAUGGACAUUAUUAUUCAUAUUUGGCAGUUAAGGAAACUAAAGCUUGGUAAAGCAAAUUAAUUUGCCCAAAUCAUGUAGUUAAUAAGUAGAAAGUAAGAGCCCAGGAUCUUCUGAUUCCAAACUUCAUCCUCACAGUUACUAUUCUAUCCAAUAUUAACUCUCUUAACUGAUUGUUUAAAUUUGAACAAUAUAUUACUUUUAUGAAUCUCGGUUUCCAUGUCUAGAGAUCACAGAGAUAUCUACUUCACAGAAUGGCAUAUGAAAAGUAUUAUUCCUCGAGUUAUUUUUGCUGCAGUUGGGGGAAGGAACUUGAACCUUACUUCAGAGACAGCCCAAUAAUAGUAGAGCUAAGCAUACAUUUGGAUAUGUGUUGGUGGGGGGAAGACACUUUACUGGAAGGCUAUUAUAAAUCAGGAAGCAUGAGGACAAAGGGGCAUUCCUAGUAGAUGUCCUUGGAUAGGAAAUAAAAAGCAUUAAUUCUCCACUUCUUCAUAAAUAUGCCUGGUGCUCCCUGGAUAUGUCAGAGAAGCUAAGAUUUCAAUCAUUUUAAAAAUAUGGACUUAACCAUUUUGACAUGGGUAUAGUAUGGAAAAGAAAUUGUUGUAUACUGACCAUCUAAAUAACGUCUUCCAACAAUCCUGAUGGUGACAGUAAUCAAGACGGCAUCUACCGGAAUAAUUUUUUACUGCUUAAGAUAAGGACUUGUUCCUAGAUUUAUAUACUUCCCAGAGAUAUCUCUGUGGCUGGAGAGCUCAGUUUAUUCACCCUGUGUAUCCAGGGUACAUUAAUGAGUUCCAUGAUAGAUAUGUUUCCUUUUUAGUUUUUUACUUAUUUUUUUGUUCUUUGAACUACUGCUACACAGAACUACUGUAGGCAGCAAUCUUGAAAAUUCAUUCAGGGAUCUCUAUUUACUCAGUACAAAUUCUAUAUAAGUGCAUUGCUACACACUCUGUACUGGAGAUACAGAGUUACAGAACAUGAAAUAUCUGUCUCUAAGGAAUUCAUAGACUAGUGGGGGAGAUAAAAUCCAAGUUAAAUAUGAUAUAGUAAUAGGUCUAAGCCACAAUGGGUGGGAGAAAAAAAAUGGGUCUCCCUUACCCAUCUGGCAAAGGGGAAAACAGACAAGACUCUGAAGGGACCCUAGGGAGGGUGACGCUUGACUGAAUUCUGAAAGGGGAGGAUGAGUUUGUCAGGGGUGGAAGUAACAGUGGGGAAGGGGGUUCUCAGCACAGGGAAGGGAAGUGGGCCUGAAGGCAUGUGAGGGGUUGAACAUAGCGCCUCUGUUAUCUGUAAUUUGUUUGGACUGGGGCUUGGGGGACAUAAGCCAGGACAGGUAGGCAGGGUUCAGACUGUGAAGAGGCUAUUAUGUCUCUUGGUCACAAGGGAGUCUGAAUGUGAGAGCGUGGGUGAGGAGGUAUUAAUUCAUAUCCACACUGGAAAAACAACUCAAAGUACAAGGCUGGUUGCUGACAAAUCAGUUGCCUCAGAUUUGUGUCUGAUCCCACACAGGGGUUGAUGCAGAAAUACCGAUGACAGACUGGGCCUAAGCUCCCAGACAGCGAGGAAAUCUGCUGAGUAGAAGCCUUUGGAGUCUGACUACGGGAUAAACAGCUUUGCUCAGAGCUCUACCCUCUGGGUAAACAGUGGCCUGUUUCUGAGGGGAGGAAGCUCAGCUGGGGGUGGAUGGUGUUGGCUCUCGAGGCAGGAACAGUGCUGCCUGGACUUGUGCAGGCUCCUGAGUUUGCAGGCAGACCACAGGGAGCUGACAGAUCCAGAGAGGCACGGAUGUGGUAGAAAGCACAGUCAAGGGUGGGUGAAAUGUUUCAAACCUAGCAGGGGAGUAAGGAGAGGCACCCCUUUGUGAAUACCAGCCUCCGUGCAGAGGUCUGGCGCUUGCCCGGCCCUCCUCCACUCUGUAACUGUAGCUAUCAGGUACCAGGCUUCCAGCCAAGUGCUUUCCUUGUAGAAAAAGAACAAUAACUGACCUAUUUUGAGUGCUUGCCUUGUCUCCAUGUACUGUUCUAGAUACAUGCUAUCCUGUAUUUAAGUCUUACAUCUACCCUACGAGGGAGUUAACAACACCAUUCCAUGUUACAGAUAAGGAAACUGAGUCUCAGAGGUACAGUUUGUCUAAGAUCCCAUAUGUGGGAACUAACUAAUGGAUCUGGGGUUUGAACCCAGGCAGUGGGACAUCACAAAGCCUAUGGCCCUUUUCUCUAUGAUGCCAUGAGAUAAGCAACAUUAUCCUUGAUGUAAAAUUGAAGCUCCGAGGAGUUAAGUAAAUGGUGGGGCUGGAAUGGACCUCAGUCCUGGACUCCAGUUCUGGUUGUGUGGUUGUCUUGGCCACUCCACCACUGCACUCAACUGGGAAUGUGUCAAGAGCGGUGUGUGUGUGUGUGUGUGUGUGUGUGUGUGUGUGUGUGUGUGUGUGUGUGUGUUUGUCUCUGUGGGACACUUUCCUGGUUGGAGCAAUGUUUGGGCCUGAAUUAUAUAAGGGAAUUGGCUGUGGAGAGGUCCAGCCAAAUGUUCUGAAAAGCUCAUAAAGGUGUCAUCUCACUGGGGUGAUCCACAUAACCAGUGUUAGCCAAAGUAUGAGCAACAUCCACCGGGAGGGAACCACCACGGUGGGCCCCACCUCCCCAGCUCUCACAACCAAUCUUAAACAGCAGAGACGUAGGGGCAAUAUUCCAGACCCAAGCAUGGACUAUGCUCUCUUCCACUCUCCAAGCUGUAAGAACAGGAAAAGACAUGAAGAGCUGGCUCCCCUCCUGCUCUAACUGCUUAGGCCAUGCAGAAGGUAUGGGGAAGAGAUAGCGAGUAAAUUGGUUGGAGUGGGGAGUUUUAAAUUGGCCUACAGAGAGCUUUUUGUUAAAAAACAAAAGAACAAUUGUGUAAUGUGGGAAGUUAUGGAAUCUGCUCAAGGCACCAUUAAGGAAAAGGAAAGAGAAUCCAGGGGGCACAGGCAGUGACAGAAAGAUAUAAAACUGUUUUAGGCGACCGUACCGUAGGCCUGGCACAUCAUCAGUCACCUACCACUCAGGCAUCCCACCAUAUAGUGCCUUUCUCAUCAACAGGCACCCCUCAUUCUACUUCUUUCAUCCCUACUUAAUUUUUUUUUUUUUUAAUUUUAGGGCCACACCUGCAGCAUAUGGAAAUUCCCAGGUGAGGGCUGAAUCGGAGCUGCAGCUGCAGGCCUACACCACAGCCACAGCAAUGUGGGAUCCAGCCAUGUCUG
rnacentral:lncRNA from 1 species